UGCCAGACUCCUACGGGAGGCAGCAGUGGGGAAUAUUGCACAAUGGGGGAAACCCUGAUGCAGCAACGCCGCGUGAGUGAAGAAGUAUUUCGGUAUGUAAAGCUCUAUCAGCAGGGAAGAAGAUGACGGUACCUGAGUAAGAAGCCCCGGCUAACUACGUGCCAGCAGCCGCGGUAAUACGUAGGGGGCAAGCGUUAUCCGGAUUUACUGGGUGUAAAGGGAGCGUAGACGGUGAGACAAGUCUGAAGUGAAAGCCCGGGGCUCAACCCCGGGACUGCUUUGGAAACUGCCUGACUGGAGUGCUGGAGAGGCAAGCGGAAUUCCUAGUGUAGCGGUGAAAUGCGUAGAUAUUAGGAAGAACACCAGUGGCGAAGGCGGCUUGCUGGACAGUAACUGACGUUGAGGCUCGAAAGCGUGGGGAGCAAACAGGAUUAGAUACCCUCGUA
rnacentral:rRNA from 1 species